UCCCCCACAUCAUCCACCUCUGACUGUGGAGAGGGGAAGAAGAGAUGUGGGGCUAAUAGUUUCCAAGGGCCACAACGCCUCCCUCUCCCCUCCUUUUCUUUCCACACAUGUGUUUCCUGAGCCAGUUCACAAAAGCUUCCCUAAGUCAGGACUUGCCUGCGCUCUUCCACAGGACCUACCAAAAAGUGAAUAUUUCAGGACCUGGAGUCCCCCGAUAUCCAGCUAAUCAGGUUAUCCAAAAAAGUGAUGCUGGGGAAAGCAUAUGGGGUUUGGAGAGAAGGAAGAACCAGAGGAUCCUGGGCAAGAUGAAGACGGCCCGUGAGACGUGGACUGGAUAGCUGUUUGCCGUUUUGCUGUUUUCCUCCUAGUCACGACCUCAGCGAGGGCAGAUGGAGCCAGUGGAGGGAGAGAGACAGACGGCAAUGCUUGGGUAGCCAGAGCUCCCUACCGGCCCCACUCUUCCUGCAGACACAAGCGCACACACACACACGCAAAACACACACGCUGCCCUUCGCCGCACGAAGCCAAAUAAAAUACACAAAAAGCAACUGAGCUACCAUCGCACAUGACCACAUGGAAACACACAAAUGAACAAACGCACUCAGGCAGAGUCACAUGCCAAUCACACACAGAUGGGAAGACAAGGGCCUGGGGCGCAAAGCCACAUGGCAAAAAGCCACCUGGAUGUACAUGCCCUACACACGAACACAGAAAACACAUGCACACUUGAGUACACACCUACCCAGACAAGUGUGCGCACGCACACUCACAGUCUACCUGACACGUCAGUGCAUCCUCAGUGGGCCCCAGUUUCUCUCAUAGCAAUUCAGAUCUCGCAGCCUG